rnacentral:lncRNA from 1 species
AAAUUGUGAUCAGGUUGUGAAUAUGAUUCAGACUUGGCAUUUGAAGUGGCUAAAAACUUUGUAUGUAUAGAUAUAUAAGGUUCUUACAUCGUCUUGCUUGCAAGCUAUAACACAAUUCUUACAAACACCCUUACGCCAACAUUGAAACUCAGGAAUAAGUCUGAAAUUUAUAAUUAUAUGAUUUUUGAAUAUCCAGGUCUUACAGUAUCACUUCCUAAAUCACAUAGUCAUCAACUGAUACGGUCAUCCCCACCUGAGUUAGAAGCAAAGUCAUAAAACACGAUUAGGAAAGUCAAACAUAAAACAGAAGUCAUAAGCCCCGUCACUACAUUCAAGUUGUCGUCAAUACUCUCUCUCUAUCUCAAUAAAGCCUAUUCCUCCUCUAUCUCACUAGGCGUGCGCUCCCAGGUCACAAGGACCUCUCGCGCGAAAGUCUCAUAUGGGUUAAACUUUGCCUAAUAAACUCGAGCAUCACCACCGGUCCUACGUGGUUUGGGAACUUCCUUCCGAACUGGCAUUCUAAGAUGAGGACCUCUAAUCAUUGGGACAUCCAUUGAAAUCUUUGGCUCUAUGGUGAGGUCAGCUACAAAUACAUCAAUAGGAGGUGUAGGGGAGUUGUGAGUUCCGCAUUAGCAUAGUAGUGGUGUACUAGAUAACGGGGUGUCAUGUAGAAAGUAAAGCUCUAGGAAAUGAUACAGGGUAACCAAGGUCUGAAGAAUCUGGACGACGAUACCAAAAAGAGAACAAACCGGCUUAUGUGCAUAUGCAAGUGGUUGGGUCAAUCAUCAAGCCCUCAUGAGUGAUAAAGUCAGCAAGUAUACUCUCCAUGGGAUAAUUCGCCAUCGCUCUUCUACCUGUCAAUGUCUAAAAACAAGGGUGCAAGGAUGAGCCAAAGAAUAAGUAGAGCCUACACAACCAUAUAAAUCAUCAAGACAUAAAUCAUGCGAACUCCUUACAUUCAAUCAAUACUCAUGUCUCAUACCUCAAAUCCUGCAAAACAUCAGACACAUCAAGUAAACAUAUAAGAAUAUGUAAGAUGCAAUGCAUGCCCCACUUUCACAAUGUUGUUAUUCUUCUGCUCAAAAGAUGUAAACGACACCC